CCCUCUUUUUUGUCUACCUCUUCCACACUUUCUCAUACUUUCUACACUCUUCAAAGCCAUGAGCUGAGCAGUUUUCCUCUUUCAUGCCAUUUCUGCCUUGGAAACAUCUGCCCAUAGACUGAAAUGUUUGAAACUAUGAGCCAAAAUAAAUCUCUCCUCCUUUAACUUCUGGGGGCCAUACAUUUUGUCCUAGCGAAUGAAGGCUAACUAAAACAGAAACUGAAAACUAAUUGGUUUAUUUGUACCUGUCUUCGGAGAAAUGUUAAACAAGCUGCUUAUUUUCUCUGAGCCUGUAGCUAUCACCACUAUUUUAGCACUAAAUGGUAUCCAUAACCAGAUUUGUUAGAGUCUGGUGCUGGUACGUUGCCAUUGUUUAAGCACCAAGGGGUGCUGUAAGCCUGGCUUUGUCCCAGAUCUACUGUUGAUGUUAUUCAGAAUGAAACAGGAAAGUAACUAGAAAGAUUAAUCCACUCUCACAACACACACACAUACACACACACACAGAAGCUUCAAGCUUCUCCCUGGGGCUGGGAGUAGGCACAAACAUCUCAUCUAUAGUCACCAUUCUACACAGCAGUUAGACAAUAGGGGUCUUCCUGGCUCUUGACAGAGUCAUUAUGACCAGAUUGAGACACUGUUCCAUGCCUAUGGUCAUCAGUGUAAUCACACUGUGUCACACCCUGAACCCACAGCCAGAUAAGACUAGUACAGCACUGGGAAGAGACCAAGACCCACAUUGCUAUGGGCUAUCUAUUGCUUAAGGGGACCCAUGCCCCAAGACUACUGCUAUGGGCCUCAGGUGAUAAGGCCUGGAAUAAGAGUUCCACAGAAUGUGUCUGUACCAAGGCUAUUCCAGAGGCUCCAUCAACAGGAAACAGUAAGUAUAUUGGCCUACAUAAGAAUGAGACUACAGUUUGCAGAACACAGUUAUCUGGACUUUAUAAAUCACCAUCGUGUCUGUCUAAGAUCAUUAAAGAACAUAUAUUAUCAGAAAAGUGGAUCAUGCACUAAAUAGGUAAAGGAGAAAAGUCCAGCUACCAAGUCAUUCUUAAACGAUGGGCUAUUCUUAUGUUUAUUCAGAUUUAUUUGUCAUUUAGUCUUGGCAUAUCAUUUUGGCUUAUGCACAGGCUCAAACAUAGUCUGAGUAGGAAGCAUUAGUAGAAGGGAAAAUUACACAGGAUUUAACUGAGCUAAGGCCUAGAAUAGUCAUAAUGGACCUCAAGAAAUCUAGUAAUGCUGAGGAUUUAGCUCCAUGGUUCUACCGCCUGCCUCACAAAUGCAAGGUC
rnacentral:lncRNA from 1 species